CCUACGGGAGGCUGCAGUGAGGAAUAUUGGUCAAUGGGCGGACGCCUGAACCAGCCAAGUCGCGUGAGGGAAUAAUGCCCUAUGGGUCGUAAACCUCUUUUGUCGGGGAGCAACGCCGGGUACGUGUCCCCGCCCGGAGAGUACCUGUAGAAAAAGCAUCGGCUAACUCCGUGCCAGCAGCCGCGGUAAUACGGAGGAUGCGAGCGUUAUCCGGAUUUAUUGGGUUUAAAGGGUGCGUAGGCGGGCUGUUAAGUCAGCGGUAAAAAUGCGGGGCUCAACCCCGUCCGGCCGUUGAAACUGGCGGCCUUGAGUGGGCGAGAAGAAGGCGGAAUGCGUGGUGUAGCGGUGAAAUGCAUAGAUAUCACGCAGAACCCCGAUUGCGAAGGCAGCAUACCGGCGCCCAACUGACGCUGAGGCACGAAAGUGUGGGGAUCGAACAGGAUUAGAUACCCCGGUAGUC
rnacentral:rRNA from 1 species